rnacentral:lncRNA from 1 species
GCUGGUCAGACAUGUGGAUGUGCUGAAUGAAUUUGAUCAGUCAGAUACAGAUCUGUUGAUUUAGAAGAGACUUAAAUCUAAAUUUUUUCACUAAAUAUUAAGUCUAGAGGUCUUCCAUCAUUGUAGAGAUGUGGGUGCCUUCCUAGCUUGAUCAUUCUCGGCUAGUUACAGUAGUUCGGUUGUAUCGAAAAAGUACAACUACUCUAUUGGCAUGUGAUGCCCCAGGGUAGAGAUGGGGUUGGGUCUAAUAAUUGUUAGGUAAGGAUCCCAAUGAUGGCUUUGUGUCCGCUAGUGAACGAUGGCUCUGAUUUAACUAAGAAAUAUGCCAAUAACUAUUAGGUGAGGCUAUAGGACUUAGAGACCAAGCCCGCUGUAUCUUACUUAGUGA